rnacentral:rRNA from 1 species
UACGUAGGGGGCAAGCGUUGUCCGGAUUUAUUGGGCGUAAAGAGCGUGUAGGCGGCUAGAUAGGUCCGUUGUGAAAACUCGAGGCUUAACCUCGAGAUGUCAUCGGAAACCAUUUGGCUAGAGUCCGGAAGAGGAGAGUGGAAUUCCUGGUGUAGCGGUGAAAUGCGCAGAUAUCAGGAAGAACACCAAUGGCGAAAGCAGCUCUCUGGGACGGUACUGACGCUGAGACGCGAAAAGCGUGGGGAGCGAACAGG